GAUGAGCGCUGGCGGCGCGCCUAACACAUGCAAGUCGAACGGUUAAAGCACCUUUUAGGUGUGUAUAAAGUGGCGAACGGCUGAGUAACACGUGGGCAACCUGCCCUCCUCUUGGGGAUAGCCUCGGGAAACCGAGGAUAAUACCCGAUACUUCAAUGUGGCCGCAUGACGACAUUGAGAAAGCUUUUGCGGAGAAGGAUGGGCCCGCGGCCUGUUAGCUUGUUGGUGGGGUAGAGGCCUACCAAGGCAAUGAUGGGUAGCUGGGUUGAGAGACCGACCAGCCAGAUUGGGACUGAGACACGGCCCAGACUCCUACGGGAGGCAGCAGUGGGGAAUCUUGCACAAUGGGCGAAAGCCUGAUGCAGCGACGCCGCGUGCGGGACGAAGGCCUUUCGGGUUGUAAACCGCUUUUCAGCAGGGACGAGGCGAAAGUGACGGUACCUGCAGAAGAAGCCC
rnacentral:rRNA from 2 species